rnacentral:rRNA from 1 species
GACGAACGCUGGCGGCGUGCCUAAUACAUGCAAGUAGAACGCUGAAGGAGGAGCUUACUCUUCUGGAUGAGUUGCGAACGGGUGAGUAACGCGUAGGUAACCUGCCUGGUAGCGGGGGAUAACUAUUGGAAACGAUAGCUAAUACCGCAUAACAUUGACUAUUGCAUGAUAGUCAAUUGAAAGGUGCAAAUGCACCACUACCAGAUGGACCUGCGUUGUAUUAGCUAGUUGGUGGGGUAACGGCUCACCAAGGCGACGAUACAUAGCCGACCUGAGAGGGUGAUCGGCCACACUGGGACUGAGACACGGCCCAGACUCCUACGGGAGGCAGCAGUAGGGAAUCUUCGGCAAUGGACGGAAGUCUGACCGAGCAACGCCGCGUGAGUGAAGAAGGUUUUCGGAUCGUAAAGCUCUGUUGUAAGAGAAGAACGAGUGUGAGAGUGGAAAGUUCACACUGUGACGG